rnacentral:rRNA from 1 species
UACGGAGGGUGCAAGCGUUAAUCGGAAUUACUGGGCGUAAAGCGCGCGCAGGCGGCUUCGCGCGCCCGACGUGAAAGCCCCCGGCUUAACCGGGGAGAGUCGUUGGGGACGGCGGAGCUUGAGGGCGGGAGAGGUCGGUGGAAUUCCCGGUGUAGUGGUGAAAUGCGUAGAGAUCGGGAGGAACACCUGUGGCGAAGGCGGCCAGCUGGGCCAGGUCCGACACUGAGGCGCGAAAGCGUGGGGAGCAAACAGG